UAGGGAAUCUUCCGCAAUGGACGAAAGUCUGACGGAGCAACGCCGCGUGAGUGAAGAAGGAUUUCGGUUCGUAAAACUCUGUUGUUAGGGAAGAAAAAAUGUAUAGUAACUAUAUACAAAAGAGACGGUACCUAACCAGAAAGCCACGGCUAACUACGUGCCAGCAGCCGCGGUAAUACGUAGGUGGCAAGCGUUGUCCGGAAUUAUUGGGCGUAAAGCGCGCGCAGGUGGUUAGAAAAGUCUGAAGUGAAAGGCAGUGGCUCAACCAUUGUAGGCUUUGGAAACUGUUUAACUUGAGUGCAGAAGUGGAGAGAGGAAGUCCAUGUGUGGCGGUGAAAUGCGUAGAUAUAUGGAGGAACACCGGUGGCGAAAGCGGCUCUCUGGUCUGUAACUGACGCUGAGGCUCGAAAGCGUGGGGAGCGAACAGG
rnacentral:rRNA from 1 species